rnacentral:rRNA from 1 species
UAGGCCGGUACUCGCGAUGCUCNAGAUUUUAUAAGUUUGAUCAUGGCUCAGAUUAGCAACGCUGGUCGGCAGGCCUAACACAUGCAAGUCGAGCGGCCAAGGCCCCNAAACCCACGAAACAACAGGGCGCGCUUUAAAACGAAACNGGGCNUUUUAUUAANUUAAAAGCCCCCGUGUUUAUUAGAUUUUAAAAAUUUUUAUGGGCCACNAANAGGNCAGGGGGNNGCUUUUUAUAGGGCGCGGGGGAAACCCCCCCGGGGCCAAAAAAACGGGNGCCCCCCCCCUGGGGGGGGAGCGGNGCGCCACGACACACCCCCAUCUGCGGGNGUGCGGCCCCCGGGCGCGGCGCACAAAAAAAAUCCCCCCCCAGGGGNGGNNGCNCCCCCCGCGGGGGGGCGGGGGCCGCGCCACCAAAAACAAACACGCCCCUCUUUUUUUUUUGNGGGGGCGCCACAACAACAAACACACCCGGGCGGGCGCAGGUCCCUCCUCCCCUNUUUUUUUUUUUUUUACAAACACCCGACACAACCAACACACCCCCCUGUUUUUUUUUUUUGGGGGGGGGGGGCGCUCACNACCCCCCCCGAGGCCCCCCCCCCCUCCC